rnacentral:rRNA from 1 species
AUGAGGUGAAAAAGAUAGAGAGUAGGGGAUCUCGGUCUCUUAUUCACAAGUCUUUUAAAUCUUAUUAUUUAGAGGAAGGUGAAGUCGUAACAAGGUUUCCGUAGGUGAACCUGCGGAAGGAUC